AUAGUACUCCCCCCAUCUCAGAAUUCUUGUCUUAGUUUUAUCUAUAAAUGGAUGUAUCAAAAUACUAAUACAUGACUAGAUACAUUCAUAUCUCGACAAAUCAAAUGCAAGAAUUUUGGAACGGAGGGAGUAGUAU
rfam:Hordeum vulgare subsp. vulgare, WGS project CAJW01000000 data, contig: morex_contig_44849